AACGAACGCUGGCGGCAGGCCUAACACAUGCAAGUCGAACGCCCUAGCAAUAGGGAGUGGCGCACGGGUGCGUAACGCGUGGGAAUAUGCCCUUGACUGCGGGACAACAUCGGGAAACUGAUGCUAAUACCGCAUAAUGACUCCGGUCCAAAGAUUUAUCGGUCAAGGAUUAGCCCGCGUCUGAUUAGCUAGUUGGUGAGGUAAUGGCUCACCAAGGCGACGAUCAGAAGCUGGUCUGAGAGGAUGAUCAGCCACACUGGGACUGAGACACGGCCCAGACUCCUACGGGAGGCAGCAGUGAGGAAUAUUGGACAAUGGGCGCAAGCCUGACCCAGCCAUGCCGCGUGAGUGACGAAGGCCUUCGGGUUGUAAAGCUCUUUCUGAUGCGAAGAUAAUGACGGUAACAUCAGAAGAAGCCCCGGCUAAAUUCGUGCCAGCCGCCGCGGUAA
rnacentral:rRNA from 1 species